GACGGUUUGCGGCUGGUAUCAGGUUCUGACUUUGUUUUGUCUUUGUCCUGAUACUUUUUUUGACCUAAGUUAUUGUUAUUGCAAGAUUGAUGAAUGGAUUGCAAAUCCGUGUAGACCGGUUCGAUUCCGGUACCCGCCUCCA
rnacentral:tRNA from 1 species